UUUACUAUUCAUUCUCUCUUAUUUCCACUUGCUUGCACCUUUUCUCUCCAUUCCCUAUUUCCUCCUCUUGAAAAAGAGCCUUUGCAUAGCCUUGGAAGUAGCCUUAGUCUGCUUUGUUGGGAGUAAUUUGGUUGGUUGUGACGACAAUCUAAAAGAACGAAAGAAGGAGCUUAUAGUUUAUGCUUUAGGAAUUUCUAGAAUCGACUAGAGUUUUCUCUUCCUUUUUAAAUCUUUCAUUUUGUUCAGUUCAUAAACAUGAUUUCAAUUAAGC
rnacentral:lncRNA from 1 species